rnacentral:lncRNA from 1 species
GCCAACAUCCCAGUUGAUGUCACAGCCAACAGCCUGCAUCAAGUGCCUGACACGAGCCUUGGAAGAGGCGGCAAGGGUGGCAGUUCAGGGACAGACUGCCUGGUCUGGCGUUCUGAUUUGCCGAAGGUAGUAAGCAACUAUCUCUGUGACCUUGGACAAGGUACUGAACUGCAUCUCUGUAAAAUGGGGAGAAUAAUCAUUCUACUUCAUAGGAUUGUUAUACACUAUAAGCGCUAACAUAUGCACAACCCUGAGACCUGAGCCUGGCUCACAAUAAGGGCUCUGAGUUUGCUAUUGUUAUUGUUGUUGUUGAUUAUUAUCGUUGUUGUUGUUAUUAUUGUUAUUAGAAAGACUCCACUUUGUCAGGCUGCUCUCUCUCCAUCCUGUUGCCCUCUCCAGGUGCCUAUACAGAAUCAGCCUUUGUGCUGCUCAUUUACAAAUAGCUGCCUGGUGUCUCCCCUCAUCUCCACUCCUCUGGAUUCCAGAACUUCCUACACAGGAGCCCAGCCCUGGACAGUGAAGGUGACCCAUGGAGACUGCAUCAUGCCUGUCAGGGUCCUGUUGGUUCAGCGGCUGGGGAGGCAGCGCCCUGCUGGGAGCGAUCACAUCCCAUGAAGAUGGAUGGCUUUCUCCGUCCCGGCGACACUCUAACUGCGAGAGAUGGGGGAACCUGCUGCAAGAGGGAAGGGGCAGUUUGUAUUAAGUGGCCACUGGGCUCAGUGGGGAAGUAUGAGGGGGGCAUGGAGGCUUAUUUCACUGUUUCAAUAACACCAGCCUUGCAGACUGACAAGACUUCUCCCCUCGGAGAGCUAACUGCUCAGCUGUCCACGUGUUUCUUUGCACACUGGUAAAGCCCAAAAUGCAUUACCGGCAUGCAUUUUGGAAUCAGCUGGCUUGUGAAUAAGUACUUGCUUUGCCGUUUCCUUGGCUGCUAAAUUUGAACUCACUAUUUAACUUCCCUCUGGUCUCUGUUUCUUAAUGAGAUAAUAAUAUCCACCUUGUUAAGUUACGCUGUGAAGUCUGAGAGACCUGCAUGUGAGGCCCUAAGAGAGGCUGGAGAGCAGGGGUGCCAAACGUGUUCAGUAAUGGGCCAGCAGAUCAAUCUUUUGGGCUCUGUGGUCCAUAAGAUCUCUGUUGCAGAUACUCAACUCUGCCAGUGUAGCCCCAAAGCAGCCAUAGGCAACAGAUACAUAAUCAGGCAUGGUUGUGUUCUAAUAAAACUUUAUAUAAAAAGCAGGCAACGGUGAGAUUUUGCCUAUGGGUUGUAAUUUGUAAGCCCUGGACUAAAGCCUAGUCCCCAAGAGCAGGGGCCAUGGAUCCUGGCUGCACCUGGGUUUAGAUCCCAGCUCUGACACUCACAAGCUGUGUGAGCUUUCUUCACCUGCUGGCAGUUGUAAGAAUUUUGUGAGUCACACAUUGAUAGGCCAAGGACUUGCAAUGGUGUCUAGGAAACGUUAAACACAACUUAAGUGUUUGCUCUCAUUUUCAUUAUUACGGAGUGAGUAUAAAACAUGGUCCCAGGCCAGGCGCAGUGGCUCAUGCCU